UACGUAGGUGGCAAGCGUUAUCCGGAUUUAUUGGGCGUAAAGGGAACGCAGGCGGUCUUUUAAGUCUGAUGUGAAGGCCUUCGGCUUAACUGGAGUAGUGCAUUGGAAACUGGGAGACUUGAGUGCAGAAGAGGAGAGUGGAACUCCAUGUGUAGCGGUGAAAUGCGUAGAUAUAUGGAAGAACACCAGUGGCGAAAGCGGCUCUCUGGUCUGUAACUGACGCUGAGGUUCGAAAGCGUGGGUAGCAAACAGG
rnacentral:rRNA from 1 species